AUGGCCGGCAACGGCGACGCCGCCGUCCACACGCCCCACUCCGCGCCGCCGACGGCACCGUCGGCGCGCGUGUCGAUCUGGGAGUCGGUGCGCGCGUGCGGGGUGUGGGGCCGGGACGUCGACAAGGCCGAGCUGCGGCGCCGCGUCGUCAUGCCGCUCUACGCGCGGAGGGCCGUGGCCGCCGCCGUCGCCGAGAAGGACGAGGCCGCCGGCGUGGCGGCCGCCGCGGCGGCGAGGGACGAGGCGGUGGGCGGCGGGGAGGGGGAGGACGGGCUGGAGGUGGUGGCGCCGAUGGUCGUGUUCGUCAACUCCAAGAGCGGCGGGCGCCACGGGCCCGAGCUCAAGGUGCGGCUCCACGAGCUCAUCAGCAAGGAGCAGGUCUUCGAUCUUUCUACUGUGAAGCCUUCUGAUUUUGUUCGUUAUGGUUUGGGCUGUUUGGAGAGGUUGGCUGAUCAAGGUGAUAACUGUGCAAAGGACAUCCGUGCAAAUUUGAGGAUUAUGGUUGCUGGAGGUGAUGGCACUGUUGGUUGGGUACUUGGAUGUCUCCAAGAACUUAAUAAGUCGAAAAGGGAACCAGUUCCUCCCACAGGAAUCAUUCCACUCGGGACAGGAAAUGACCUUGCUAGAUCAUUUGGAUGGGGUGGCUCUUUUCCCUUUGGUUGGCGUUCAGCUGUAAAGCGAUAUCUCAACAAGGCAGUGUCUGCUUCGGUCGUCCAUCUUGACAGUUGGCAGGCUGUGAUUAGGAUGCCAGAGGGAGAAAUAACAGAGUUGCCACAUGCACUUAAGAAAGCGGAACCUGCCGAUCAGCUGGAGUUCAGCAAGGCGAGUGGCAGUGAGUUAACCGAAAAAGCUUCAUGCUAUAAAGGAGUAUUCUACAACUACCUUAGCAUUGGGAUGGAUGCCCAAGUUGCAUAUGGCUUCCACCAUCUACGAGAUGAAAAGCCAUAUCUUGCUCAAGGACCAGUUGCAAAUAAGUUGAUUUAUGCUGGAUAUAGCUGCACACAGGGAUGGUUCUGUACUCCUUGUACAGCAAGUCCUCAGCUAAGGGGACUUCGGAACAUUUUGCGGCUUUACAUUAAAAGGGCAAAUUGUUCUGAAUGGGAGCAAAUUCAAAUGCCUUCAAGUGUUAGAUCCAUAGUGGUCUUAAAUCUGGACAACUACGCCAGUGGAAAGCAUCCAUGGGGUGAUCUUAAACCGGAUUAUCUUGAAAAGAAAGGUUUUGUUGAAGCUCAUUCAGACGACGGUUUGAUUGAAAUAUUUGGUCUGAAAGAAGGUUGGCAUGCUUCAUUCGUUAUGGCUGAGCUUAUCAAAGCAAAGCACAUUGCUCAGGCUGCAGCUAUCAAGUUUGAAAUGAGGGGAGGCGAGUGGGAUCGAGCAUAUGUUCAAAUGGACGGCGAGCCAUGGAAACAACCACUCAUCCAGGACCAGUCGACAAUUGUGGAAAUAAACAAGGUUCCGUAUCACUCCCGGAUGAUAAACGGGGAUUCAUGA
rnacentral:rRNA from 1 species